rnacentral:rRNA from 1 species
UUCAGAUUGCAGGCUGCAACUCGCCUGCAUGAAGUUGGAAUUGCUAGUAAUCGCGAAUCAGAAUGUCGCGGUGAAUACGUUCCCGGGCCUUGUACACACCGCCCGUCACACCAUGAGAGUCGAUAACACCCGAAGCCUGUGAGCUAACCGCAAGGGGGCAGCAGUCGAAGGUGGGUCCGGUAAUUGGGGUGAAGUCGUAACAAGGUAAC